rnacentral:rRNA from 1 species
CCUACGGGUGGCAGCAGUGAGGAAUAUUGGUCAAUGGUCGGGAGACUGAACCAGCCAAGCCGCGUGAGGGAGGAAGGUACAGAGUAUCGUAAACCUCUUUUGUCAGGGAACAAAGUCUGGGACGCGUCCCCGGAUGAGUGUACCUGAAGAAAAAGCAUCGGCUAACUCCGUGCCAGCAGCCGCGGUAAUACGGAGGAUGCGAGCGUUAUCCGGAUUUAUUGGGUUUAAAGGGUGCGCAGGGGGGUUGUUAAGUCAGGUGUCAAAGCCCGGGGCUCAACCCCGGGCUGGCGGUGGAUAUUGGCAGUCUCGAGUUGGAGAGAGGUAUGCGGAAUGCGUGGUGUAGCGGUGAAAUGCAUAGAUAUCGCGCAGAACUCCGAUUGCGAAGGCAGCAUGCCGGCUCCACACUGACGCUGAGGCACGAAAGCGUGGGUAUCGAACAGGAUUAGAUACCCGAGUAGUC